CAUGCACUGGUGGGGUCCCUCGGCCUGGCCUGCACCCUCUUGCAAUCCCGGACUCGUCAGGGCAUGUCGGAGAUCCAGUUUCGGCCUGAUCCCGCAGGCCAGGCCGAGGGACCCCACUGGUGCAUG
rnacentral:pre_miRNA from 1 species